rnacentral:tRNA from 1 species
GAUGUAGCUGAGUGGUACAGCGUUUGUCUAGCAUGCAUAAGGCCCUGAGUUCAAUCCCCAGUGCA